GGUCCCAUAGUUAAAUUGGAUAUAACCGGGCUUUCCUAAAGCUCAAUUAGAGGUUCGAUCCCUCUUGGGACCGCCA
rnacentral:tRNA from 1 species